ACAUACCCCGAGCUGGCGGCUUGAGCCUGUGGUAUCUAGGCUCACCUCACUGCGGUUGGUGGAGGUGAUGGAGGUUGCAGCUUGGCCAGCAUGGUAGAAAGGUGGCAGGGCACGUCUGGCUUUUACCACCCAGUUGCUUCGAGCCAGGAGAUGGAGGAGUCAUCUGUUGCACGCUGGAGGCUGGAGCCUGCAGAUGGCAUGGUUCUGUGGCUCACCUCGCUGCAGUUGGUGGCAGAGACAGAGACUGCAGCUUGACCAGAGUGGUGGAGUGAUAUGUAUCUCAAGAGCACUCCACAACAAAGAUUCUGCCUGCAAUCCUCCACUUCAAGUGAUUCCCUAAGGUCCACAAAGAACGCAAGAGGCAGCAAUGAAAGCUGUGCUAAGUGACAAUGUGGCCAAGACAUAAGCAGAGUAGAUGCUCAUAGAAGGCACCAAUUCAAGAGGAAGCCCGCUGCUCAUAGUGAUACUUCCCUGCCCACGUUUCUGUACACUUGGGCAGUGCAGCACCUCUUCUAUAGUGUCUCUUAUUUUUCACUUCUUGACACACGGUCGCAUUGUUGUUGUUGUUGUUUUGACAACAGGUUUAGCCUUGGGACUUGCUUCUAAAUGUAAGCAGCAGUGAUUUGUGAAGUGUGACAAACUGGGACUCAAUUCUCCAUGUUGUCUUGUUAGUUAUGACCUUGAAAGCUUUUUUCCACAUGGAUCUUCAAAUAGAUACAGUGAGUAAAGUCUUCUAGUAACUUGCAUGGCCAUGUAAAAGAAAUAACCUUUCACUGGAUUAAACCAGUGAUAAUAUGUGAAAGCUAUAAGAAGUAUCCUAGGUGAAAAGUGUAUAUUCACGUCAGACAUGAGAUAAAUGCUCAAUAAAUGUGUUUUCUCACUCAUAA
ensembl:lncRNA LINC00408 long intergenic non-protein coding RNA 408